rnacentral:misc_RNA from 1 species
UAUACUUUCAGCGACCAUUAUAUCUCUUCCUGUCCUCCUCAUCGCUGGUAGUAGUACAUAGUACGGUAGUACCUGACCUUGAACGAGCUGUACGGUUUCUUUUCUUUAUUUUUUGUCUGACUUCCUCGUCUCGCCUCACCUGUUGCCGGGCAAGGGGACCCGCUCUCCACGCCCUAUUCCGGUUCACUCGCCGACUGGACACCCGGCAGCAAAGUUUCCGAGCGUUGGUAAGCAGUGAUAUGGCGCCGACGUACGGCUACUGGGACCUGCGCGGUCUGGGCCAGCCGAUCCGAAACCUGCUCGUCUACAAGGGCGUGCCCUUCGAGGACAAGCGGUACAAGUUCGGCGCGGCGCCCGACUACGACCGCGAGGAGUGGCUCAAGGAGAAGUUCACGCUGGGACUCCGGUUUCCAAACCUGCCGUACUACAUCGACGGCGACGUGAAGAUGACGCAGAGCAUGGCCAUCAUCCGUUACCUGGCCAGAAAGCACGACCUCGCCGCAAGGAACGAGCAGGAGACCCAGGAGCUGGACAUGCUCGAGCAGCAGGCGCGCGACCUGGCCUGGAACCUGGUGAUGGCCGUGCACUCGCCAAACUACCCAGAAUCUCGUCGCAAGUACGAGGAGAACAUGGAGAACGCGCUGCGGCCUUGGGACGAACUGCUGCAGGGCAAGCUGUGGGUGCUGGGAGACCGGCUCACGUACGUCGACUUCCUGGCGUACGAGGCGCUCGACUGGAACUACGAGCUGAACGCGGGCGUGUUCCAGGGCUUCCCCAUACUGGUCGCAUACCUGAAGCGCUUCGAGGAGCUACCCAACCUACGGCAGUACUUCUCGUCUGGAAAGUACAGCAAGUACCCAAUCCUGGGGCCCAUGGUCAAGUGGGGAUUCAAGAAACACUAGUGGCGCCGCACCGUUGCAGCUAUAUGUGUGCGCUCUCGGCAUCCGCCGCGUGUACAGUAAAGUUCACGGUUAAAGAG